rnacentral:rRNA from 1 species
AUACGGAGGGUGCAAGCGUUACUCGGAAUCACUGGGCGUAAAGCGCGCGCAGGCGGCUAUUUAAGUUGGAUGUGAAAGCCUACGGCUCAACCGUAGAACUGCAUCCAAAACUAUUUAGCUAGAGUGUGGGAGAGGAAGAUGGAAUUAGUUGUGUAGGGGUAAAAUCCGUAGAGAUAACUAGGAAUACCAAAAGCGAAGGCAAUCUUCUGGAACACUACUGACGCUGAGGCGCGGAAGCGUGGGGAGCAAACAGGAUUAGAUACCCUAGUAGUCC